GUUAGGUUGCUCAUAACAUUUUGGCUCACGCCAAUUCCACUUUGUACCACUUGUGUCCCUGCAAGAUUUCCUUGGCUAAUCCCCGGUACUGAUUGGCUCACACUAGCACCACCUUGGAGAUUUCCUACUGCUUGUGAAGUGGCAAUAUUUGAAUUUCCAGGAAUAUUGUUAUUUCCUGAAGUAAGUGAGCUUAUACCUGAGUUCGGAGCAACCUGUGUAAGAGUUGAAGACCCAUUUAUUGAUGUCAUACCAGAUUGACCAGAUGAAAAUACAUUUUGUGCAGCA
rnacentral:misc_RNA from 1 species